AAUUCCACUUGACUUACUUUUAAUUUUUAUUAAAAAUGCAAGAAAUCCAGAACAAUUUACAACUAUACAAUGUUUGAAACAGCUUUCCUAUUCCUAUUUAAAGCUUUAUUUUUUAAAUGUCUAUAUGACAUGUGCUUACACGGGCUUGAGACUAUCAAACCUGACCACCCAGUGACGUUAGCAGUUUUAUUGCACAAUGAUCCACAUAACACUGCAUAUUUGUUUAGUUCAGCCUAUAUCAUAAAGUGCUAGUCAUUGGUGGGAAAGUAACAAAGCCUACGAAACAAUGCAAUUCUCCAUGAUAUUUUCUAUUUGGGUUGUGAGGGGUAGCUAAUUUAGUGCUAUCAGCCUGAAUAACAGAUUUCCAUUUAAAAAUAUAUAGUUUAAAAAAAGGCCUAAGGUCUAUGAAUAUGUCACAAGCAUUCCAAAAUUAUUAGUGCUAAUGCAUAACAGUCUAGUUUCUAACAUUUUAACUUCAAAAAAACAACCAGUUUAAAUAAAACAACCUAAGAAAAAGAUGUUUCAAAAAUGAACAUAAAAUUUAGAUAAAGUCAUUCUUCAAAUGAACUUUUAAAAGGAUACAGUCAUUAUGAUUUUGGUUAUUACUCCUAAACAAUUAAAUUUGUAUUUUUACUUGUUUAUUAUUACCAAUGCUCAUUACCAAAGAAUGAGCCACAGAAAAAUGCAUACAACUGACCAGUUAGUUAUUCCACAUAUUAUGUUUAAUGACACUAAAAAUAGAUCAUUAACUCUUUAAAAAUGUAAACAUAAACCAGGACAAUCUGAUAUGUCAUAUUUGUGCCAAAAAAAUGAAAACCACAAGACACAGUAAGAGGGGAUAAAAAAACAAAAGACCAAUAUCAAUAUAUCUUCACCAAUAUUUAUGAAAAAUAAUUACUCAACAUAGGUGCAAAUAUUUCCAUAAAACAUGUUUUAUGAAUGACAAGUUUUCCCAGACACGUUUUAUCUGGGGGGAAAAAUGAUUAAAAUGAAGAGCUACAUGUGUUAACCACUAACUUUGUGUUUCCUGCAAGAAACUAUGUUUACUACACAUGCACAUAUGGGCGUUACAGCUAAGAAAACACGUUUAUAUGUCCUUAAGAAUAGUUUAUGAUCUUUAAAAAAAAACAGUAUUCAUUUUCCAGGCAAAUAUACUGUUAAUAUUCUUUACACAUCUCAAAAUACAUAAUUUUCCAUUUAAAUAUAUUACCAUUUCUAUGGCCUUUCCCCCAUCUUUCUUUUAAAAACAAAUGCAAGACACAAUGUUUAGUACUAACUUCUAUCCAUUAGGCAUUUUAAAAAAAAUCUUCUCUUAGGACACAAACAUGAUAUAAAAUUGAAAAACCAAACACAAAACAACGUAAUAAAUACAUUUGUAUGCUUUCCCCCCAAAAGGAAUGUAAGUAUCAGCAACACCAGCUAACAUAAAUAAACUUCAUGUUCAUAAAAAAA